UCUAGGGUCAGCUCCGAUUGUCAGUCGACUCACAACUCUGCCCUGUACACCGGCAGUAUCUGAUUUCAACCCAACCUCCGACACCUACUACUGUGACAUUACCAAGCCGGACUAUGACAGAAAAUGGAGAUAGGAGGAAAAUGAUAAACGUACACCCAGCACCACGGUUACCUGAUAAGAUAUUGACACAUGUAAGGGACGGUCCGUGACAAAGGCAUCCCGUGACGCUACUUACACAUGUCAAGCUACAUCAUGUUCUCCAACAGCCAGAGCGACACCUCUCCGUGCGACGUUUACGCCGUCGGGUACAGGGACACAAGUCGUCACGAAUCGGGAGAGGAUAGGAUAUUUCCGAAGAUUCGUUUAUCUUGGAGAUAGAUCUUCAUAGCGAAGUAGUCAAUUGUUGAAUUAAGGUGUGUGAUAUCUACACUGUUGUUUUGGUGUUUAUAUAUGAAUGACUAGUUUGGAAAAAAAUACUGUUCCAGUGAACUCAUUUCUCGUUUUAAGUCAAUAAAUGUUGAUAUAUAUGAGAGCACAAUCAUUGUACAACAAUGAACGCUUUAACUACUAGGCACACACACAGUCGGACCCCACACUGAAGCCUAUGUAACACAUGUGGUGUCUCCUUCCUCUAUAGACGCUUCCAGGAUGACUAGGACAUAAAGGCUGUCAUAGGUUACAGGGCCAAUCUGCAGAUUCCAUAAAAGUGGUAUUAAAAGCUUGAAGGUCAAAUGGAAUAAGUGUAUAGGGGUGAAUGGAGAUUGUAUUGAAAACUAAAAGUGCAAAAGAUAUUCUGCGACGUGGUCUUACAUUGAAGUUGCAAAACUUAUUGAACGUCAAUGGCAGUUGCAACUGGACUUCGACUGACAACCUGCCUGGCACGCGCAUCUCGUGAUCUUGCCGAUCUUGCCGAUCUUGUCUCUGUCGAUGUCAGACUGGAAAGUGACGCUGGGUUGCACUGAUGCAUCUUCUGUGAUCAAACCAAUGGUAGGUAUAUCAGUAUACCGUUACCGCAAUGUCAACACACGUCAAUUGUCAGAAAGUCAAAUACCUUUGGUGAGUCAACCAACAGACAUCAGAGUGGUUCUUCCGGGUUGCAACUUAUCUCCCCUUUCACGGGUUUGCUACCAGAUGGCGCCGUCGCGCAGACUAGCGUGUUCCCAGCUUUCAGUUCGCCGACUACGCGACCUGCUGUUUUAAUGCAAGGCGGAGUUUCAUUAUAGCAAGAACGAUAUCAACUGUGUCGGGGUGAAUAAAGUAUAGCGUGAAGGCGUACUGAAAGUGAGAUGUGUUUAUAACACUUGCCAUUCAAGGGAACUGCAAUGUUGAAUGUUGAUGUAUUGUUUACAUUGAAUCUUUCAACGACACACCCACGGACAAUAUGCACACAAUUACACAUAUGUGUAUUUAACAUGGGAUGCACAGUUAAACAGCUAUGUACAUAGUGCAUAUGAACGCAGUGAUUGUUCGUUUGUUGUUUAACGCCGCACUCAGCAAUACU